GGAGGGGGCCGUUCAGUGGGGAGCAAGGCAACUCUCAAGGGAAUGAGGGCUGUCACAGUAGCCUUUGGUGAGCAAUGACUAAUCUAUUGCCGACUCUCUUCUGACAAGGAAGCUGGAUCGAGUCCAAAUAUAGUUCAUUUCCUCAAGUGUACACAGGGGCCAGGCCACAGAAGAGAAUGGAAUAUGGAACUUCCUCUCAGUUCAGGAGCAUUUGGUGUUUUUGAGGGCGGCCAGGGAAGGCAAGAGGCUGAAAAUGGAGAACAGGCCUUUCUGGCUGUAAUACCCAGAUCUCAGCAGUCAUCUUGCAGCUAUGGGGGAAGAAAACCUGAGGGCAAAGCCAACAUCCUGAAGAUGGCAGAGUGGUAAGGUGGAAAAAACUGGGGUCUUUGAUGGCGCUGUCAAGAUUCUUUAACAACUAGCCCCAGAACCUGCCUACCUCUAGACUUCCU
rnacentral:lncRNA from 1 species